AGAACACAAAGGUUUGUGUUUUGAUUCAAAGUUUUGAUUUAUUUCAUAAAGUUUAUGAUAUAUGUUUUUUCAAAUGUUUUAUCAUAUAUUUAAAGUGUUAAAUAUUUGUAAAAAUGAUGAAAGAAAAAUCAAUCAUCAAAACAUAUAUUAUUUUUUAUGAAAGGUGAAAGCACUACUUGAUUGUUUUUGACAAAACUUAUAAAUCAAAACACCCACCACUCCUUUUUAUCCCUAAAAACCGGCCACCCUAAUAAAAUAGGGUAU
rnacentral:lncRNA from 1 species